rnacentral:rRNA from 1 species
GAACCUUGUAGAGAUACGAGGGUGCCUUCGGGAACUGUGAGACAGGUGCUGCAUGGCUGUCGUCAGCUCGUGUUGUGAAAUGUUGGGUUAAGUCCCGCAACGAGCGCAACCCUUAUCCUUUGUUGCCAGCGGUCCGGCCGGGAACUCAAAGGAGACUGCCAGUGAUAAACUGGAGGAAGGUGGGGAUGACGUCAAGUCAUCAUGGCCCUUACGACCAGGGCUACACACGUGCUACAAUGGCGCAUACAAAGAGAAGCGACCUCGCGAGAGCAAGCGGACCUCAUAAAGUGCGUCGUAGUCCGGAUUGGAGUCUGCAACUCGACUCCAUGAAGUCGGAAUCGCUAGUAAUCGUGGAUCAGAAUGCCACGGUGAAUACGUUCCCGGGCCUUGUACACACCGCCCGUCACACCAUGGGAGUGGGUUGCAAAAGAAGUAGGUAGCUUAACCUUCGGGAGGGCGCUUACCACUUUGUGAUUCAUGACUGGGGUGAAGUCGUAACAAGGUAACCGUAGGGGAACCUGCGGUUGGAUCACCUCCUUACCUUAAAGAAGC